UACGUAGGGUGCAAGCGUUAAUCGGAAUUACUGGGCGUAAAGCGUGCGCAGGCGGUUUUGUAAGUCUGACGUGAAAUCCCCCGGGCUCAACCCUGGGGAAUUGCGUUGGAGACUGCAAGGCUGGAGUCUGGCAGAGGGGGGUAGAAUUCCACGUGUAGCAGUGAAAUGCGUAGAGAUGUGGAGGAACACCGAUGGCGAAGGCAGCCCCCCUGGGUCAAGACUGACGCUCAUGCACGAA
rnacentral:rRNA from 1 species